rnacentral:rRNA from 1 species
GACGAACGCUGGCGGCGUGCUUAACACAUGCAAGUCGAACGGUGAAGCGCCUUCCUUUUUGGUGGGUGUGGAUGAGUGGCGAACGGGUGAGUAACACGUGAGUAACCUGCCCCCUUCUUCUGGAUAACCGCAUGAAAGUGUGGCUAAUACGGGAUAUUCUGGGUCUGUCGCAUGAUGGGUCUGGGAAAGAUAUUGUUUCGGUGGGGGAUGGGCUCGCGGCCUAUCAGCUUGUUGGUGGGGUGAUGGCCUACCAAGGCGGUGACGGGCAGCCGGCCUGAGAGGGUGGACGGUCACACUGGGACUGAGACACGGCCCAGACUCCUACGCGAGGCAGCAGUGGGGAAUAGUGCACAGUGGGCGCAAGCGUGAUGCAGCGACGCCGCGGGAGGGAUGGAGGCCUUCGGGUUGUGAACCUCUUUCGCCAGUGAAGCAGGCCUGCCUCGUUUGUGGGUGGGUUGACGGUAGCUGGAUAAGAAGCGCCGGCUAACUACGUG